rnacentral:rRNA from 1 species
GAGUUUGAUCAUGGCUCAGAUUGAACGCUGGCGGCAGGCCUAACACAUGCAAGUCGAGCGGCAGCACGGGGAGCUUGCUCCCUGGUGGCGAGCGGCGGACGGGUGAGUAAUGCAUGGGAAUCUGCCCGGUAGUGGGGGAUAACCCGGGGAAACCCGGGCUAAUACCGCAUACGUCCUACGGGAGAAAGCAGGGGAUCUUCGGACCUUGCGCUAUCGGAUGAGCCCAUGUCGGAUUAGCUUGCUGGUGAGGUAACGGCUCACCAGGGCGACGAUCCGUAGCUGGUCUGAGAGGAUGAUCAGCCACACCGGGACUGAGACACGGCCCGGACUCCUACGGGAGGCAGCAGUGGGGAAUAUUGGACAAUGGGGGAAACCCUGAUCCAGCCAUGCCGCGUGUGUGAAGAAGGCUUUCGGGUUGUAAAGCACUUUCAGCGGGGAAGAAGGCAUGGCGGCUAAUACCCGCCAUGAAGGACAUCACCCGCAGAAGAAGCACCGGCUAACUCCGUGCCAGCAGCCGCGGUAAUACGGAUGGUGCAAGCGUUAAUCGGAAUUACUGGGCGUAAAGGGCGCGUAGGCGGCCUGCCAAGCCGGAUGUGAAAGCCCCGGGCUCAACCCGGGAACGGCAUUCGGAACUGGCAGGCUAGAGUGCAGGAGAGGAAGGUGGAAUUCCCGGUGUAGCGGUGAAAUGCGUAGAGAUCGGGAGGAAUACCAGUGGCGAAGGCGGCCUUCUGGACUGACACUGACGCUGAGGCGCGAAAGCGUGGGUAGCAAACAGGAUUAGAUACCCUGGUAGUCCACGCCGUAAACGAUGUCGACCAGCCGUUGGACCCCCUGA